CCUACGGGUGGCAGCAGUGGGGAAUAUUGGACAAUGGGCGCAAGCCUGAUCCAGCCAUGCCGCGUGAGUGACGAAGGUCUUCGGAUUGUAAAGCUCUUUUGGCGGGGACGAUAAUGACGGUACCCGCAGAAUAAGCCCCGGCUAACUUCGUGCCAGCAGCCGCGGUAAUACGAAGGGGGCUAGCGUUGUUCGGAAUCACUGGGCGUAAAGCGCACGUAGGCGGACUUUCAAGUCAGGGGUGAAAUCCCGGGGCUCAACCUCGGAACUGCCUUUGAUACUGUUGGUCUCGAGUCCGGAAGAGGUGGGUGGAAUUCCGAGUGUAGAGGUGAAAUUCGUAGAUAUUAGGAAGAACACCGGUGGCGAAGGCGGCCCACUGGUCCGGUACUGACGCUGAGGUGCGAAAGCGUGGGGAGCAAACAGGAUUAGAUACCCGAGUAGUC
rnacentral:rRNA from 1 species